ensembl:lncRNA
ACUGAACCAGAGUGUUUGCCCUCUCAUAAUUACGUUGAGCUUUUCCCUUUUUUCACCCUCCCCCUGCUUCUUUUUUUUUCAUCACUCUUUGAGACUUCGGGGCUAGUGGUAAUUAGCCAGAAGAGAAUAAAACCAGCUGAUCGGGAGAGGGGUGGUGCAUUUUGGAGCGAGAUGGCUAACAGAAACAUUCUGUUGCUCUUCUGUGGACUCUUCCUCUUAGCACUGAUUCAACCCUCUCUUCAAGGAGAUCCAAUCCAAAAAAUGUAAGAGGAGGCUCCAGCUGGCUCUUCUUUCUACUCAGGAAAAAACACAUACUUCUGAUUCACUCCUGAUGAACUCCUGCGUUG